GUGGGCGUGGGUUCAUCGGCGCCUUUUCCGCUUGUCAUGCUUGCCAAGCAUAAGGUCGGGAGUUCGACCCUCCUCACCCGCUCCA
rnacentral:tRNA from 1 species